rnacentral:rRNA from 1 species
ACGAACGCUGGCGGCGUGCUUCACACCUGCCAGUCGCACGGAAAGGCCCUGCUUGCAGGGUCCUCGAGUGGCGAACGGGUGAGUAACACGUGGGUGAUCUGCCCUGCACUUCGGGAUAAGCCUGGGAAACUGGGUCUAAUACCGGAUAGGAGCCAUUUUUAGUGUGAUGGUUGAAAAGUUUUUUCGGUGUAGGAUGAGCUCGCGGCCUAUCAGCUUGUUGGUGGGGUAAUGGCCUACCAAGGCGGCGACGGGUAGCCGGCCUGAGAGGGUGGACGGCCACAUUGGGACUGAGAUACGGCCCAGACUCCUACGGGAGGCAGCAGUGGGGAAUAUUGCACAAUGGGCGCAAGCCUGAUGCAGCGACGCCGCGUGGGGGAUGACGGCCUUCGGGUUGUAAACUCCUUUCGCUAGGGACGAAGCUUUUUGUGACGGUACCUAGAUAAGAAGCACCGGCUAACUACGUG